UUUUUCGUUCAGUUUAAGGGCUCUCUAGGCUUAAGAUCUUUCUAGGAUAAUUGCGUCAUUGAAUCUAAAGGUAUAUGAUCGGUUUCUCAGCUCAUGCAUCGAUAUGCAUUUGUUUCUUGCCUGACUUGUCCUACAUUUGUGAGGUUGUUGAGGAAGUUCAGUUCUUGCAGGAGGCGCAAAACUUGAGUUGCCUACAUAUGAGUUUGCCAGUUCGCCGAAACUUAGAAUAAAGAAGGGAACUUUCUCAGUUUUGUUGUUUUUGCUCUUCUCAGAUUUUAGGCUGGGUGUAUUAACAUAUAUGCCACACACUAAAUUUAGAUCUCAGUGCAAGUUUAAAUAGGGAUGAAUCACUGUGCCAUGUUGAAAAAUUAGAACUACAGAGAAGAAAGGAAAUUAUUAAAGAAGGGAUAUAGUUGAUUAGGUUGUUGUGGUGUUUCUUUGUAAAUAACAACAUUCUAACUUGCUAAUCUAGGUAUGUGGGAUAUAGGAGAUACAAGGAGAGAUAUUUCAGUUGCAAUCGAGCUUUAUUUCAAAGUGAAACAUGGUAGACAUGCAUAGCAUGCUGGUGUUUUACUCUAUGCUUCUGGGCCGCCAUGGUGUCAAUUUUGAACUUGCAAAACGAACUGUAAAAUAUUUUAAUGCCUUGGGGCAUGAAGUUCUCUUUACCUGCUCUGACUGCUUCAUCUCUGUUUAUGUAGCAGGUUCUACGAUCUCCUGUGUUGCUGCAUCUUGGUCUUCUGUUGCUUGAGGUUUGCUUCCUUUUUUCUAGACACAUGCGUAUUCUUUCUAGCUACAUCCAUGAUUUCCUUUUGCUCACGGAAUAAUAGUUUAGUUAUAUUGAUU
rnacentral:lncRNA from 1 species